rnacentral:rRNA from 1 species
UACGUAGGGUGCGAGCGUUGUCCGGAAUUAUUGGGCGUAAAGCGCUCGUAGGCGGUUUGUCGCGUCGGGUGUGAAAUCCAUGGGCUUAACUGGGGGCUUGCUUUCGAUACGGGCAGGCUGGAGUUAUGCAGGGGAGAGCGGAAUUCCUGGUGUAGCGGUGAAAUGCGCAGAUAUCAGGAGGAACACCGGUGGCGAAGGCGGUUCUCUGGGCAUGUCCUGACGCUGAGGAGCGAAAGUGUGGGGAGCGAACAGG